GACGAACGCUGGCGGCGUGCUUAACACACGCAAGUCGAACGAUGAACCUCGAAAUGAUUUCUUCGGAAAGAUUUUUGAGAGGAUUAGUGGCGAACGGGUGAGUAACGCGUGAGCAACCUGCCUUAGACAAGGGGAUAGCCUCGGGAAACCGUGAUUAAUACCCUAUGAGACUCCACUUACGAGUGUAAGAGAAGUUAAAGCUAUUGCGGUCUAAGAUGGGCUCGCGUCUGAUUAGCUAGUUGGUGAGAUAAAAGCCCACCAAGGCGACGAUCAGUAACCGGCUUGAGAGAGUGAACGGUCACAUUGGAACUGAGACACGGUCCAAACUCCUACGGGAGGCAGCAGUGGGGAAUAUUGCACAAUGGGGGCAACCCUGAUGCAGCGACGCCGCGUGAGCGAUGAAGGAAUUCGUUUCGUAAAGCUCUGUCCUUGGAGAAGAUAAUGACGGUAACCAAGGAGGAAGCACCGGCUAAAUACGUG
rnacentral:rRNA from 1 species